AUUGAACGCUGGCGGCAGGCCUAACACAUGCAAGUCGAGCGGAUGAGAAGAGCUUGCUCUUCGAUUCAGCGGCGGACGGGUGAGUAAUGCCUAGGAAUCUGCCUGGUAGUGGGGGACAACGUUUCGAAAGGAACGCUAAUACCGCAUACGUCCUACGGGAGAAAGCAGGGGACCUUCGGGCCUUGCGCUAUCAGAUGAGCCUAGGUCGGAUUAGCUAGUUGGUGAGGUAAUGGCUCACCAAGGCUACGAUCCGUAACUGGUCUGAGAGGAUGAUCAGUCACACUGGAACUGAGACACGGUCCAGACUCCUACGGGAGGCAGCAGUGGGGAAUAUUGGACAAUGGGCGAAAGCCUGAUCCAGCCAUGCCGCGUGUGUGAAGAAGGUCUUCGGAUUGUAAAGCACUUUAAGUUGGGAGGAAGGGCAGUAAGCUAAUACCUUGCUGUUUUGACGUUACCGACAGAAUAAGCAUCGGCUAACUACGUGCC
rnacentral:rRNA from 1 species